rnacentral:lncRNA from 1 species
UGGGUCAGGGUUAGGUUUAGGGUUGGAGCUAGGGUUAGGGUUAGGGUUAGUGUUGGAGCUAGGGUUAGGGUUGGGCUUGGAGCUAGGAUUUGUCUGAGUGCAAUGAACCAACUCCCGAGUCUCUAGGACGUUCCUAAAAAAAUUUGAUUUUUUCCCAUAGGAAUGCAUGGGUUAGGGUUAGGGUUAGGGUUGGAGCUAGGGUUAGGGUUAGGGUUAGGGUUGGAGUUAAGGUUAGUGUUGGAGCUAGGGUUAGGGUUGGGCUUGGAGCUAGGAUUUUUCUGAGUGCAGUGAACCAACUCCCGAGUCUCUAGGACGUUCCUAAAAAAAUUUGAUUUUUUCCCAUAGGAAUGCAUGGGUUAGGGUUAUGGUUAGGGUUAGGGUUGGAGCUAGGGUUAGGGUUAGGGUUAGGGUUGGAGUUAGGGUUAGUGUUGGAGCUAGGGUUAGGGUUGGGCUUGGAGCUAGGAUUUUUCUGAGUGCAAUGAACCAACCCCCGAGUCUCUAGGACGUUCCUAGAAAAAUUUGAUUUUUUCCCAUAGGAAUGCAUGGGUUAGGGUUAUGGUUAGGGUUAGGGUUGGAGCUAGGGUUAGGGUUAGGGUUAGGGUUGGAGUUAGGGUUAGUGUUGGAGCUAGGGUUAGGGUUGGGCUUGGAGCUAGGAUUUUUCUGAGUGCAAUGAACCAACUCCCGAGUCUCUAGGACGUUCCUAAAAAAAUUUGAUUUUUUCCCAUAGGAAUGCAUGGGUUAGGGUUAGGGUUAGGGUUGGAGCUAGGGUUAGGGUUAGGGUUGGAGUUAGGGUUAGUGUUGGAGCUAGGGUUAGGGUUGGGCUUGGAGCUAGGAUUUUUCUGAGUGCAAUGAACCAACUCCCGAGUCUCUAGGACGUUCCUAAAAAAAUUUGAUUUUUCCCAUAGGAAUGCAUGGGUCAGGGUUAGGGUUAGGGUUGGAGCUAGGGUUAGGGUUAGGGUUAGGGUUGGAGUUAGGGUUAGUGUUGGAGCUAGGGUUAGGGUUGG